AUGCGCUCGCGCUUAAUUUGCUUUCCUUUCCUUCUCUUGAUACACAUUUUACGUUCCAGUUUCAUGAUUUCCGGACAAACAUCUUGUUGUAAACUCUGCUGCUCAGUGUCUUGGCCUCUUUUCGGUCCGUAUGGAUGUCUGACGGGAGAUGUAUCUUUGUGUUCGUCAGACUUCUCUUUUCAAGUUCUAUUUUGCUGUAAUAGUACUACUAAUAAAGAUCUAUUUUGUUCCGAUGAACUGGGUGAGCAGACAUGUCUCAUCCAAGAACGAUGCAGUAGCGGCCACAUCGAAUCGAGUCAUGUUCUCGAUGAUGUACCAAUCUUAUUAUACAUCUUGAGAAUUUGUUCACUGACGGCAGGAAUGAAUUCAACGUCUUCAGAUUUACCAACAUAUUGA
rnacentral:rRNA from 1 species